rnacentral:rRNA from 1 species
UACAGAGGGGGCAAGCGUUGUUCGGAAUUACUGGGCGUAAAGGGCGCGUAGGCGGCCUUCGUAAGUCGAACGUGAAAUCCCUGGGCUCAACCCAGGAACUGCGUCCGAUACUGGAAGGCUUGAAUCCGGGAGAGGGAUGCGGAAUUCCAGGUGUAGCGGUGAAAUGCGUAGAUAUCUGGAGGAACACCGGUGGCGAAGGCGGCAUCCUGGACCGGUAUUGACGCUGAGGCGCGAAAGCUAGGGGAGCAAACGGG